rnacentral:rRNA from 1 species
CAGCAGCCGCGGUAACACGAAGGGUGCAAGCGUUACUCGGAAUUACUGGGCGUAAAGCGUGCGUAGGUGGUGGUUUAAGUCCGUUGUGAAAGCCCUGGGCUCAACCUGGGAAUUGCAGUGGAUACUGGGUCACUAGAGUGUGGUAGAGGAUAGUGGAAUUUCCGGUGUAGCAGUGAAAUGCGUAGAGAUCGGAAGGAACAUCUGUGGCGAAGGCGACUAUCUGGGCCAACACUGACACUGAGGCACGAAAGCGUGGGGAGCAAACAGGAUUAGAUACCCCUGUAGUCCCUGUCUCUUAUAC